CUGGGGCGGCUGCUGCUGGGGUGGCUGCGGCGGCGGCUGCUGCGGGGGCUGCUGCUGCUGUUGCUGCACCGGGCGCGGCCGCGACACUCGCCUGGGUCUCCGGUUGGCGGCUCGGACGGAGUUCAUUUGCCGGGCUGAGCCCUGUCGCCGCUGCUUCUGCUGCUGCUCCGUGGCAGGAGGAGCCAUUGACACCGCCGGAGCCUCCACUAGCCCACUUCCCCCUCUACCCCAGCCUUCACCCGAUUUUGUUGAGCUGAAAAAAAAAGUGGAACGAGGGAGCCAAUCUUUGGUCCCACAAACUACAAGGAAAAGAAAAACCCUCAAGAGGAAUUACCUUUAUACCUGAUGCCCCCAACAUAAUCUCUCUCCAAGGGAAACUUGUUUUUAUUCCCUCGCUUCUGUUACGAUGACUGAAAAUGUACUCUUUCUCGAUUCUCCCCCUUCUCUCUUUUGUUUUGCAUUUUUUUGGAUGUGGUAAAACUGUCAGUUUAUCUGAUUCUCUGGUUUUCAGAACUUUCGGCAAUGUCUCUGGUUUGAGUGUCAUCAGUUGCUGUCUAGGUUUGACAUCGAUAAUUAAGCAACUACAAAGCGUGAUAAAGCUUUUGAGAGGGAGGAAAAUGUAUUUUGGAAGGAGGAAGAGACGCAAAGAGGCGAACCAUAUGUAUCUUGUAGUGUGUUGAGUCUCAGACUUGGUAGUGUGACUACAGGCAAAGUACUUCACCUUUCUAGAUGUCACAACCUCCACCUCCCCCUCCCGAGUUUAAAUAAGAACUUAUUUUAGACGGCAUGAUCCUGUUUUCAGUUUUUAAGAAUUCUGUGAUUUUGAGAUCUCUCUUUAGUCCAGAAAAAAUAGAGAAGCGUAGAUCUAUGUUUCUCAAAAAAAUAUUUUGAGGAUGACAGCUGUUACAAAACAGCUGGAGAACUCCGAAUUUUUAUGGUUGUUAGGUAGGUGCAAAUGGGUACAAUUUUAGGUUUGUUCAAAUAAACAUAGGGGAAAAGUAAAAGUACAGGAAAAUUACAUUUUACUACAAGUGUGUCCAUCAUUUCUGAUUUUUCUAAAAAUUUCCUUUUUUAUUUAACAAGUACUUAUUGGCUCCUUCUGUGUGUACAUUAAUAUGUAUGUAAGGUGUUAUGGGAAAUACUAAUAAAAGGAAAAUAUUGGGCAUAAA